rnacentral:rRNA from 1 species
UACGAGGGGAGCUAGCGUUAUUCGGAAUCACUGGGCGUAAAGCGCACGUAGGCGGAUUGCUAAGUCAGGGGUGAAAUCCUGGAGCUCAACUCCAGAACUGCCUUUGAUACUGGCGAUCUCGAGUCCGGGAGAGGUGAGUGGAACUGCGAGUGUAGAGGUGAAAUUCGUAGAUAUUCGCAAGAACACCAGUGGCGAAGGCGGCCGACUGGGCCGACCCUGACGCUGAGGCGCGAAGGCGUGGGGAGCGAACGGG